CCCUGCCUUUUGUACACACCGCCCGUCGCACCUACCGAUUGAGUGGUCCGGUGAAGCCCUCGGACCGCGGCCGGCACCCUCCGGGGUCCGGCUACGGGAAGUUGGCUAAACCUUACCACUUAGAGGAAGGUGAA
rnacentral:rRNA from 1 species